AUGGACCGCCGGUUCCACCCCUGGCGGUGGACGAUGCUUCGGGAGGAACACGCCACCCCCAGCCGCCGCUCCUUCCUCAACACCUCCACCGGCGAGUGCAUCCAGGUCGACAUCCCCGAGCUCCUGGACCACGACGUGCUGGCGGUCACGGCCGAGGGCCUCCUCGUUCUGCUCCAAAGGCCUGAGUGCACUCACGUCCGCCUGCUCAAUCCGCUCACCGGCCAUCUCAUUGCAGAUCUCCCGCCGAUCACCACGCUGCUGCCUCCCGGAGUAGGUCUUUUCCAUUAUUUUUUCGACAUCUAUAGACAGUGCACGGCCUAG
rnacentral:rRNA from 1 species